rnacentral:rRNA from 1 species
GACGAACGCUGGCGGCGUGCUUAAUACAUGCAAGUCGAACGGAAAGGCCUGCUUUCCCUUGUGGAUUGCGGGUACUCGAGUGGCGAACGGGUGAGUAACACGUGAGUGAUCUGCCCCCAACUUGGGUAUAAGCCUGGGAAACUGGGUCUAAUUCCCGAUAGGACUGCAGGGUGGUGCCUGUGGUGGAAGACGAUUUUCUAGUGGUUGGGGAUGAGCUCGCGGCCUAUCAGCUUGUUGGUGGGGUAAUGGCCUACCAAGGCGGCGACGGGUAGCCGGCCUGAGAGGGUGGACGGCCACAUUGGGACUGAGAUACGGCCCAGACUCCUACGGGAGGCAGCAGUGGGGAAUAUUGCACAAUGGGCGGAAGCCUGAUGCAGCGACGCCGCGUGGGGGAUGACGGCCUUCGGGUUGUAAACUCCUUUCGACCGCGAGGAAGCCACCUGGUUGGAAGGGUGGUGACGGUAGUGGUAGAAGAAGCACCGGCUAACUACGUG